rnacentral:rRNA from 1 species
AUAUCAAUAAGCGGAGGAAAAGAAACUAACAAGGAUUCCCCUAGUAACGGCGAGUGAAGCGGGAUGAGCUCAAAUUUGAAAUCUGGCUGGUUUACCGGUCCGAGUUGUAGUUUAAAGAAGCGUUUUCGGUGGACAGGCCUGGGUAUAAAUCCUUUGGAACAGGGUAUCAUAGAGGGUGAGAAUCCCGUCUUUGACUCCGUGCUUGUUACUAUGUGAUACGGUUUCAAAGAGUCGAGUUGUUUGGGAAUGCAGCUCAAAAUGGGUGGUAAAUUUCAUCUAAGGCUAAAUAUUGGCGAGAGACCGAUAGCGAACAAGUACCGUGAGGGAAAGAUGAAAAGAACUUUGAAAAGAGAGUUAAACAGUGC